CCGACCUUAGCUCAGUUGGUAGAGCGGAGGACUGUAGUUGACGCAGAUUAUCCUUAGGUCACUGGUUCGAAUCCGGUAGGUCAGA
rnacentral:tRNA from 1 species